rnacentral:rRNA from 1 species
CAACGCCGCGUGAGUGAUGAAGGUUUUCGGAUCGUAAAGCUCUGUUGUUAGGGAAGAACAAGUACCGUUCGAAUAGGGCGGUACCUUGACGGUACCUAACCAGAAAGCCACGGCUAACUACGUGCCAGCAGCCGCGGUAAUACGUAGGUGGCAAGCGUUGUCCGGAAUUAUUGGGCGUAAAGGGCUCGCAGGCGGUUUCUUAAGUCUGAUGUGAAAGCCCCCGGCUCAACCGGGGAGGGUCAUUGGAAACUGGGGAACUUGAGUGCAGAAGAGGAGAGUGGAAUUCCACGUGUAGCGGUGAAAUGCGUAGAGAUGUGGAGGAACACCAGUGGCGAAGGCGACUCUCUGGUCUGUAACUGACGCUGAGGAGCGAAAGCGUGGGGAGCGAACAGGAUUAGAUACCCUGGUAGUCCACGCCGUAAACGAUGAGUGCUAAGUGUUAGGGGGUUUCCGCCCCUUAGUGCUGCAGCUAACGCAUUAAGCACUCCC